UACGGAAGGGGCAAGCGUUGUUCGGAAUCAUUGGGCGUAAAGGGCGCGUAGGUGGUUCUGUAUGUCUACCGUGAAAGCAUACAGCUCAACUGUAUUUUGUCGGUAGAAACUGCAGGACUUGAGGCUGGGAGGGGGCUGGUGGAAUUCCCUGUGUAGCGGUGAAAAUGCGUAGAGAUGGGGGAGAACACUCGUGGCGAAGGCGGCCAGCUAGACCAGUUCUGACACUGAGGCGCGACAGCGUGGGGGAGCAAACAGG
rnacentral:rRNA from 1 species